AUGCCAAAACCUGAGGCAGCACCUGAAGCUGCAAAAUCUCCAAAUGAUUCUCCGCAACCAAACAAUUCACUUCCUAUUGAUAAUGUUGUGAGUUCAAAAAAGUGUAUAAGGAACACUAAAAAGACUAAUAAGAAGGCACAGAUGGAAGCUCAGUUAAAAGCUUUAUCUAGCAACCAAGACAAUCAUCCUUGUAUGUCACAGUAA